rnacentral:lncRNA from 1 species
AAAAAAAAAAAAAACAACAACCCCAAACAACAACAAAACAAAAAUUCCCCCCUACUAAAGGGAGGGAAGGGAGGGUGGCUGCCGUCAACGACGGCACUGUGCCCUCCCCAACCCACCUAUAUCUGGAGGGGGCUCCAGUUCUGGCCGUUCCAGGCAGUCGGGGCAGUCUGGCAGCUCGGGGCAGUCUGGCCGCUCGGGGCAGUUUGGCCGCUCUGGCAGCUCGGGGCAGUCUGGCCGCUCUGGCAGCUCGGGGCAGUCUGGCCGCUCUGGCAGCUCGGGGCAGUCUGGCAGCUCGGGGCAGUCUGGCCGCUCGGGGCAGUCUGGCCGCUCGGGGCAGUUUGGCCGCUCUGGCAGCUCGGGGCAGUCUGGCCGCUCUGGCCGCUCGGGGCAGUUUGGCCGCUCUGGCAGCUCGGGGCAGUCUGGCCGCUCUGGCAGCUCGGGGCAGUCUGGCCGCUCUGGCAGCUCGGGGCAGUCUGGCCGCUCUGGCAGCUCGGGGCAGUCUGGCCGCUCUGGCAUCUCCGGGCAGUCUGGCCACUCUGGCAUCUCCGGGCAGUCUGGCCCCUCUGGCAUCUCCGGGCAGUCUGGCCACUCUGGCAUCUCCGGGCAGUCUGGCCACUCUGGCAUCUCCGGGCAGUCUGGCCACUCUGGCAUCUCCGGGCAGUCUGGCCACUCUGGCAUCUCCGGGCAGUCUGGCCACUCUGGCAUCUCCGGGCAGUCUGGCCACUCUGGCAUCUCCGGGCAGUCUGGCCACUCUGGCAGCUCCUGACUAGUGGGUGCCUCUGGCGACUCUUCACUGACGGGCGGCUCUGGCGAUUCCUCACUGACGGGCGGCUCUGGCGACUCUUGACUGACGGGCAGUUCUGGCGACUCUUGACUGACGGGCAGUUCUGGCGACUCUUGACUGACGGGCAGUUCUGGCGACUCUUGACUGACGGGCAGUUCUGGCGACUCUUGACUGACGGGCAGUUCUGGCGACUCUUGACUGAUGGACAGUUCUGGCGACUCUUGACUGACGGGCAGCUCUGGCGACUCUUGACUGACGGGCAGCUCUGGCGACGUCGGACUGCGAUGACGCACUUGAAGCCUGGUGCGUGGUGCUGGUACUGGACGUACCAGAUUGGGAACACGCACCUCCAGGCUAGUGCGGGGAGCGGGAACAGGACGAGUCGGACUGGGCUGACGUACUUCCGGGUCCGCACGAGAGACAGGAGCUGGAAACCUAGGGCUAUGGAGGCGCACAGGCGGUCUUGA